AACGAACGCUGGCGGCGUGCUUAACACAUGCAAGUCGAACGCGAAAGGGACUUCGGUCCUGAGUAAAGUGGCGCACGGGUGAGUAACGCGUGGAUAAUCUACCCGAUGGACCGGGAUAACAUUUCGAAAGGGGUGCUAAUACCGGAUAAGACCACGGGCUCUUCGGGGCUAGUGGUAAAAGGUGGGGACCUUCGGGCCUACCGUUAUCGGAUGAGUCCGCGUACCAUUAGCUAGUUGGUGGGUAAAGGCCUACCAAGGCGACGAUGGUUAGCUGGUCUGAGAGGAUGAUCAGCCACACUGGAACUGAGACACGGUCCAGACUCCUACGGGAGGCAGCAGUGGGGAAUUUUGCGCAAUGGGGGAAACCCUGACGCAGCAACGCCGCGUGAGUGAUGAAGGCC
rnacentral:rRNA from 1 species